GGGGCGUUAGCUCAGUUGGGAGAGCAGUUGCUUUGCAAGCAACAGGUCACCGGUUCGAGCCCGGUACGCUCCA
rnacentral:tRNA from 1 species